rnacentral:rRNA from 1 species
CACGUAGGCACCAAGCGUUGUCCGGAUUUAUUGGGCGUAAAGAGCUCGUAGGCGGUUCGGUUAGUCGGGUGUGAAAACUUUGGGCUCAACCCAAAGCGUGCACUCGGUACUGCCGUGACUAGAGUUCGGUAGGGGAGUGGGGAAUUCCUAGUGUAGCGGUGAAAUGCGCAGAUAUUAGGAGGAACACCGGUGGCGAAGGCGCCACUCUGGGCCGAAACUGACGCUGAGGAGCGAAAGCGUGGGUAGCAAACAGG